rnacentral:tRNA from 1 species
ACCUGGGUGGCUCAGGAGGUUGAGCAUCCAACUUCGGCUUGGAUCAUGAUCUAACGGUUUGUGGGUUCGAGCCCCAUAUCGGGCU